CAGGCAGGAGGAGAUGAUUCGCCAGCGAUCCUUCCUGUGAUUAGAUCCCCACCCCAGGCAUUCCAGCAUGCAGCGACCUCAUCGUUUCAGCGGCUAUUCCAUGAACAGAGGAAAUAACUACCCUCAUGGAGCAGCUCCUCGCACCAGCGGUCGCCGGGCAAGGCCCAUCUUGGAUGCGAUUAAGAGUGUGAAGGGACUCUUGGUGGGAAGCGGCCAGGGAGAACGCCAGUCGAUCUUCUUCAGUGCCAGGUGGUCACUAACUGAGGACUGACUGUGCUGGCCACCAAAGAAACGCGGACAAGUAGAGAAAAACAGCCCCUGACCUGGAAGAUGUCCUCAUCUAGCUGGGGAAAGAAAGAGCAACAACAUCAAAACUGCACAAGCAGGUAAAGUGCAAAUCUUCAGCAGGCUUAAGAACUAGGAGGACUCUGCACCUCUGCACCUUCCCACAAGAGGGAAGCAUUCCAGGAACUGACUGCAGGAGCCGCUCUUUCUGGGCCUCUGCAGUCCAUGGCACAGCCCACCACCAGCAAAUUUGCCGUUGGCUGCAAACCCAGGGGAAGCUCCUGAAGGUAGGAUAAGAAGCACCAAAGCACUGCUUUGGUCUGAAUGCGUCCCCCUAAACUCAACAGCCAAUGAGAUAGUGUUCUGGGUUGGGGCCUUUAGGAGGUGAUGGGACACUGGCUAUCCCCUCCUGCAUGGGAUGGAGUCUUGGAUAAAAGAGGCUCAGCAUUUGGUCCCCUCUGCCAGGUGGGGACACAGUGUUGGUCCCCCAGGUGCUGUUUUGGAAGCAGGGAAGAGCAGUUCCAGGGAGACACUUCCCAGAUACAUGAGUUUCUGUUCCUUAUAAACCACCCAGGCACAGGUAUUUUGUCACAGCAGCACAAAUGGACAAAUGGACAGAGACAGCAACCUUGUUUAUAAUUAACCUUCCUCCCAGUAUAGCUUAG